UUAUAACCAAUGAUGGAGCAUAGUAGUUAAGCUAAAACAUGAAAAGAGAAGAAAUGUCCUGGCUGAAAGCAUUUCUACAUGAUACUUAAUGAAUGAACACUCCGAAGGCUUCUCUCUGAAACAGCUCGGGCUUAGUAGGAGAAGAACGUGAGCAGGCGUUAACUGUAAAAGAGGAAGUGCUUUUUUAGCGCUUCAACUAGGGUGGCACCGCGGGAUCUAAACUCUCGUCCCUUGU
rnacentral:ncRNA from 1 species